rnacentral:rRNA from 1 species
CAUUAACGAAUAUAAUUCGAGGGGUUGUCGCUGGCCUCGCUCGCGCGAGGCAUGUGCACGCUUCUCGUUUUUCUCUCAACUCACCUGUGCACCUAAUGUAGGAUGCCUCUCCUCCGGGAGGGGGGACCUAUGUCUUCGUAACAUCUUCGUGUAGAAAGUCUUUGAAUGUUUACUAUCAUCGAGUCGCGACUUCUAGGAGACGCGAUUCUUUGAGAUAAAAGUUAUUACAACUUUCAGCAACGGAUCUCUUGGCUCUCGCAUCGAUGAAGAACGCAGCGAAAAGCGAUAUGUAAUGUGAAUUGCAGAUCUACAGUGAAUCAUCGAAUCUUUGAACGCACCUUGCGCUCCUCGGUGUUCCGAGGAGCAUGCCUGUUUGAGUGUCAGUAAAUUCUCAACCCCUCUCGAUUAGCUUUGAGAGGGUGCUUGGAUAGUGGAGGUUGCCGGAGACUUGGAUUCGUCCGAGACUCGGGCUCUUCUGAAAUGCAUCGGCUUGCGGUCGACUUUCGACNNNNUGCGACAAGGCUUUCGGCGUGAUAAUGAUCGCCGUUCGCUGAAGCGCAUGACUGAACGUCCCGUGCCUCUAAUACGUCGACCGCUUAUUAUCUCUCCGGAGAGAACAGGGUCUUCCUUAUUGACUUUUGACCUCAAAUCAGGUAGGACUACCCGCUGAACUUAAGCAUAUCAAUAAGCGGAGGAAAAGAAACUAACAAGGAUUCCCCUAGUAACUGCGAGUGAAGAGGGAAAAGCUCAAAUUUU